GUUUUAAUAGUUUAAAUAAAAACAAUGAUUUUGUAAAUCAUAAAUAGAAAAUAUCUUUAAAACU
rnacentral:tRNA from 1 species